rnacentral:lncRNA from 10 species
GGACAUGUGGAACUCCACUCCAAAAGCGGCGGCUUGCGGCGGAGCUCUCUCUAGUGAGGCGGCCAGCUGGCGUUCGUGGCACACUUGCUGUCGGCUCCGCUCAUCUGUUGGGAAUGCGUCCUGUGGGCCUAGUCCUCCGCUGGAAGAAACGCGCUGUUCUCCCCAACCACCGUUUAUCAUUCUUAUUCACCGUCUCCGGAAUGUCCAUUCAGUUUCCGCUCCUGAGAGACUUAGUGACUGAGGCCAGGCAAAGAUUUCACCUUGGGGAGGGGGAACGUUAAACCUUUCCUCCAGCAGCUUUCGUGUUUUAAAUUGUAUUCAUCCGCCAUGGAAAGACAUCAGAAGCCCAGGAUCUAAGAGACAGACUGAAAUGAAGAAAGUAGAUAAUAUUGUGAGAAUAAUGAACAAGCUGGUCACUGAACAGCAGAACCGUAAUGGAGUCCCAGUUAAAGGGUUUUAACUUUAUUUCGUCACUUUUUGCAAGCAUGAUACAAAGAAAACAAACACCUAACUACGCUACGGUUUAUAGUUAAAAGGAAGGUGGAAGAUCCUGAGUCAUUACAGCAAUCACAAAACAUGAUGGAUUUCUUCAUUUAAAAACACAAAAGAGGUCUUGGCAUAGUUUUCAAGGGCAAAGCAUGACAAGACUCUCCAGUGCUUUCUUUCAUCCCCCUCUGUGUGCCUUUUUCUGCCUGACUCACAGCCUGGCUCAAUCCUAAUCUUUCUACUGCAAAGAUGCAGCAUUUAAAGCAAUUUUUCCUGUGCAGUAUUUGUAGAAUGACAGAUCCUGCCAGAAGCUCUUGGAAACAUUUUGGAACUAUCUUGCUUUUCUGUAUGUUAUGAUCCAUCUAGCACCGUUUUCCUCCUGUGGUAGCAAAUGACACUUUUUUCAAGCAUCAGCAGCAGAAAUGAGUCUACCAGAUGGAAUAAGAUACUGGUAAAGGGAAAGAUUUGUUUCUAAGACUGCACAAAUGAAUGCACCCAAAUCUGUGAGUUGAUUAAUCUGUGAAGAAAUACAACUGGCAGUAUUUACAUAUCUCAAUGAGUCUCAAAGUGUGGUCGAGGAAGCCCUGGGGGUCCUUGGGACCCUUUCAGAGGUUCCACGAGCUCAAAUCUAUUUUCAUAACCAUGCUAAGUCUUUAUUUCCUUUUCCACUCCAGAGGCUAUAUAAUGUCUGAUGACAUCAUCGCUUUAUAGGAUGAGAGAAUACGUGCUUGUAUAUUCUUGUGUUUGUAAGACUUUCCAGGUUUAAUUUAUUACCAUAUGGCAAUUUUCAAUAAGUAUAACCCACAAAACCCAACAGAUUUUUGGGGCACCUCUAACAAGGGUCCUAAGACCAAAAUGUUUGAGGACUGCUAAUCGAUAUUAUUCAAUUGUCUAGUCCCCUAAACUCCAACCCUUCUUAUCAGGACUACAGAGAGAAAACAGGUGGUCUUCUUGACAAUCGCUUUGUAUUUACAUUCAGUG